AAAAAAUGGGAAUUUGUAAAACAUCAUAUCCAAUAAAUAGUCCAUUAUAUGAAGAGGAUUUUGAUUCAAAAUUGAAUAUAGAAAUUGAAGAAAUUAGGGUUUUGAAUAUGUCUUGCCCAGCGAUUUCGCCUGUAAAAGAAACUUUUUUCAUCUCUCAUGGUUCUCCUACACUUUCCAUUGAUGAAUCUUUGCCUGCAAGAAAUUUUUUGAGAAGUUUCAAACAAAAAUUUUUGAUUAAUCAAAAACCUAAUUCAAUUUUAGUGAUUUCUGCUCAUUGGGAGACUUCAGAACCAACUGUUAAUUCUAUUCGAGGAAGAAAUGAGACUAUUCAUGAUUUCUAUGGAUUUCCCAAAUCCAUGUAUCAGCUCAAGUACCCUGCACCAGGAUCUCCAGAAUUGGCAAAAAGGGUGAAGGAUGUUCUCAUGGCAUCUGGGUUCCCGAUAGUGCACGAGGACAAAAAACGUGGUCUGGAUCAUGGUGCAUGGGUUCCUCUCAUGCUCAUGUAUCCAGAAGCGGACAUUCCAGUCUGCCAACUUUCGGUUCAACCCAAUAGGGAUGGUACUUAUCAUUACAACUUGGGAAAAGCAUUGGCUUCCCUCAAGGAUGAAGGUGUCCUCAUUAUUGGUUCUGGAUCUGCCACUCACAACUUAAGGGCUCUCGGUCCAUCCAAGAAUGUUUCUUCGUGGGCUCUAGAGUUUGAUAACUGGCUUAAGGACGCCCUUCUUAGCGGAAGGCAUCAAGAUGUCAAUAACUAUGACAUGAAGGCGCCGCAUGCAAAAGUUGCCCACCCAUGGCCCGAGCACAUCUAUCCGUUACAUGUAGCACUUGGUGCUGCUGGUGAAGGCGUUAACGGAGAACUUAUUCACCACAGCUGGGAUCUUGGUGCACUAUCUUAUGCUUCCUACAGGUUUCCUAGCCUAAAUAGGUCUUCAUAGAUGAAUGUUUGUGUGUAUUUAUAAUAUAUCUGAUUGUGUUAUAUGUUGUAUAAACUUAUCAAAAGUGAAUUUGUUAUUAUAUAGAAUAAAAUAUAAAGACUGUGAUGG
rnacentral:misc_RNA from 1 species